rnacentral:rRNA from 2 species
GUCCUCUUGUUUAUAUAUGAGGUCUGACCUGCCCGGUGAUUUAUUUUAACGGCCGCAGUAUUUUGACUGUGCAAAGGUAGCAUAAUCAUUAGUCUUUUAAUAGGAGGCUGGUAUGAAGGGUUUGACGAGGUGUUUACUGUCUCAUUUGGUUUGUAUUUAGAAUUUAACUUUUCAGUUAAAAGGCUGAAAUUUUAUUGGAAGACGAGAAGACCCUAUAGAGCUUUAUAAUUAACGUUUUAAUAAUUUUUUGUAUAUUAUUUUUUAUUAUUACUUUAUUUAUUUUGUUGGGGUGACAAAAAUAUAUAAUUAACUUUUUUAUUUAAUUAACAUUGAUUUAUGAGUAUUAGAUCCAUUAUUAUUGAUUGUUAGAUUAAGUUACC